ACGGGCCUGCUGAUAUUAAUAAAAAUGUUAUAGCCACUAAGGCUAUAUAGAAACAUAUAGCGAAAUUAAUUGUGGUCUGAGGCCAAAUACUGAUUUUGAAAAUUUUAAAUUCUUGGAAACGCGUUUUUCAACACUAAAGAGUUCUACUUCAAUCAAUCAAUGAAUGAUCCCUUGCUUGAAAUCACGCUGGAUCGCGCGAGAGCUGUUGAGGCCGAUUCUUGAGGCUGAAGGCCGUUUAGGUCUCACAACACAGUUCACUUUCGGGGGAAAGGUCAUUCAUCACGGUCCACUAUAGUUCCUAAUUGUGACACAUGUUGUGGUGUACAUGUUCACUGUUAGUACUUGCAGAAGAAUUAAAGGGACUGGUUAUUUCAGAUGCCAGGUAGUUCCUAAUUGUGACACAUGUUGUGGUGUACAUGUUCACUGUUAGUACUUGCAGAAGAAUUAAAGGGACUGGUUAUUUCAGAUGCCAGGUCCUCUGGCUGCAUUUUGCCCAUGAGGUUUUGAAAUAUUAUGCAUUUACUUUUGCACACAUGAGUAUGAAGAAGACCAGGUGCCCGGAGUGAUCCGGUUACUCUGCCAUGCCUAAAAACACACGGUACUGUCACAGUGGGCCAUGUAGCAAAAAACUGAGACGGAAAUGUUGUCAAUUUUGGAGCCAAAAUAAAUAAAGGUAUAAAAAACCUUUAAAAUGGUAUAUGUCAUUAGUGUCAACGAGAACCCAUUCUGUUAGCAAUUUGGAUUUGAAGUUGGGCAGUUUAACAUAGGUUUCAAUGGCAUAUAGCAUCUGUGUAGUGAGACCUUACUGACUGCUAUUAUACCUCACUAUAGUUACUAAUUGUGACACACGUUAUGUAGAGGCACUGAUUUUCCGCGAUCGCGGAAUCGCGGAAAUACCUAUCUGAAACGGAAUUCCAGAUUUUUUUCCAAAACAUUAUUUAACUUUAAAUAGCGCAUUUGAUUAAGUUAUAAAUCUUAAAAUGCGAAGCUCGUAUUUGUAUACAACAAUAAAACGCUAUUGUUUGCCUUCCACCAUGGCCGGCCGCACAGAGGUAUGGGUAAUAUUGCUAUUUUUAGCACAUGGCGGAACCCCUCUAUUACAGUGCCUAUGGCAUGAGGGCGGUUCUAAAUAGUUUUCAGUCAAAUUAAAGUCUUAAUUGUUUAAGAUAUUAAUUGAUAUAAUCAUUUUCAGUUAGAUAAUAUUCUUAUAUGUCUUGUACAACUAAUUUUCUACUUAGUAAGACAUAAAUAGACCUAAAUAAAAAAUAUCAAAACCACUUACGUACACGUCAGUGCCGAAAAAUAGAACUCUUCUUGACGUCUGCUUCAACGGUUUCUUCAAAAUGUAUAAUAUUAUUUAUUAAGUUCCAACAGGAUUACUUUUAUUUUAUAAAAGUAAUUUUAUAAAAGUAAUCAUUGUAAAUAAAGGAAAGGUAUUAUUUUAUUAUUAAUUUAAUUUAACAUCGUGGCAUCCAUAAAUAGCCUACGGACGAUGGUACGAAGUGACUAGCAAGCAUUUGAGUAACACUGACAAUAAUUGCUGAAGCAGAGUGUGUGCACACAUGCACGCACACACAAUCCGAAGAACUGCAGAAUACCAUAAAACGACAUGUAGUUUCAAAAAGAGUUGUUGCACGUGACGUCACAGAUCGGCUGUCCGCCAUUUUGGAGACAACAGUUCUUUGUUGAAGCGUGUUAUACGAACAGCGAUACAAUGCCUAAGGUGAAGGGGAACUAUUGUAAUGUUGAGGGUUGUCACAAUCGAUCACAGACAGACAAAGAAAAUAAGAAACAUUACUACAGACUACCAGCUGUUAUUAGAAACCAAGGGAAAGAAUGUGAAAAUCUCAGCUUGACGAUUGUGGCUUUCAAAGUUGAACCAGAACAUGGACGGCAAAAAUGUAUCAAAUGUUCGCAUUUGUUCAGAACAUUUUAUAAAUAGAAAAACUACUAAAGUAAGUGUGAUGAUGCAAUGGCAAGUUUUUCAACAGGAAGUACCUACACGGAGCUGGGUCAGGAAGAUCCGAAUUUCGUUCACUUAGACGACCGAUAUAAAUGUUGUUAUUGCAAACGUGUUCUUCGCAAUUCAAUGCAAACAAGGUAAUUUAAAACUGCUUACUUUCUUUAGAACGAGUGAAAAACAUCUAUAUGUUCAGAGGUGCAUAAAUGUGAAAUUUUGAUGGUUGCCUGGUGGGCAACCAGUAGCUG